rnacentral:rRNA from 1 species
UACGAAGGGGACUAGCGUUGUUCGGAUUUACUGGGCGUAAAGCGCGCGUAGGCGGAUCGCUAAGUCAGGGGUGAAAUCCCAGGGCUCAACCCUGGAACUGCCUUUGAUACUGACGAUCUGGAGAUCGGGAGAGGUUGGUGGAAUUCCGAGUGUAGAGGUGAAAUUCGUAGAUAUUCGGAGGAACACCAGAAGCGAAGGCGGCCAACUGGCCCGAUACUGACGCUGAGGCGCGAAAGCGUGGGGAGCAAGCAGAUGAGAUACCUACGUA